AGCUGCUCUACUCAGGAGUAUCACACCUGAAAAGCCAGAAGUAGCGAUAGUAGGGUCCACGGAUCACUCGAUCAAUCCUCAAAUCCAUCAUCAAAUCACAAUCAUUAAUGGCAGCAUGAGCAACAGGGCUAAUGAAAGCAAAUUUGGUGGCAAGAGACUCAGCCUCAGGCGAUCUUCCCCCUUAUGGACGGCUGAUCCCAGAAAGAUUCUUUUCUUCUUUGCAACCCUGUCAAGCAUGGGAACUAUACUACUAAUCUAUUUCACUUUGUCCGUGGGAAAGCUCAAUGGGGAUGGCAAUGCUCUCGAUUGAGAACAGUCGUUACGUGAUCCACCAACUUUUAUGAUGAGGAAUAAAAUGACAUGGUCGAAAUAAGUCUCUAAUUAUGAAUUGUUGGCUGCAUCUGGUGAGGACAAUCUGAUUCGCGACAAUCUGAUUUGCACGGAAAAAAAAUGGAGAUGAAAAUUGUUAGAAAAGGUAAGAGACUGACCAUCCAUUCUCGUGGCUUUAAAUUCCGCAGAUUUCACUUUUUCCAAGCCUGAUUCUCUUCACAGCAUAAUAUUUGUUGACACCAGAUGGCAGCACUAAGAUAGAGAAUCAUCAUAUUGUGCAAGAGACAGGAAGCACGGGAUCUCUGUACCUUUCAUGUUGGUCUUGUCUAUCUCCGCAUAAGUAUAAAUGAAAUGAUACAAUUUUCUGCA